AGAUAAAUUGCAGACUUGAUCACCAGGUUUUUGUUGGGAUUGAAUGGGGAUUCAUCAAGUAGAUUGCUGAGUAAUCUAAACAUAGGCCCAUCUAUUGGUAGUCUGGUGGUGGUAAGUGGAACAGAAACCUUUGAGAUACCCUUUAAGACUUUCUUGAUGGGGUAUGAUGACAAAAAGGGGGUGUUGUUAGGGAAAUUAGUGAGACUGUGGUGCU